rnacentral:rRNA from 1 species
UUUGUGAACGCGAAGAACCUUACCAGGUCUUGACAUCCUCUGACAACCCUAGAGAUAGGGCUUUCCCUUCGGGGACAGAGUGACAGGUGGUGCAUGGUUGUCGUCAGCUCGUGUCGUGAGAUGUUGGGUUAAGUCCCGCAACGAGCGCAACCCUUGAUCUUAGUUGCCAGCAUUUAGUUGGGCACUCUAAGGUGACUGCCGGUGACAAACCGGAGGAAGGUGGGGAUGACGUCAAAUCAUCAUGCCCCUUAUGACCUGGGCUACACACGUGCUACAAUGGACAGAACAAAGGGCUGCGAGACCGCAAGGUUUAGCCAAUCCCACAAAUCUGUUCUCAGUUCGGAUCGCAGUCUGCAACUCGACUGCGUGAAGCUGGAAUCGGUAGUAAUCGCGGAUCAGCAUGCCGCGGUGAAUACGUUCCCGGGUCUUGUACACACGCAA